rnacentral:lncRNA from 1 species
AUCGUUUAAUGCGGAAGUUACUUGGAUGUAGAAAUAAAAUGCAGCUUCAGGUUUUUAUAAGAGAAUGUUUUGACAAAAUUAAACAAUGAUUGCACAUAUAUUUUUAUAUUGGUUCACUAGCUACGUCCGGUCUCCUAUAUCUACAGAGGGUUCCACUAUAAUCUUCAAUAAGAGGUAUUCUUGGUUAGCAAAUAACCUUCUGUUACCCUAGACUGAAUGAGUAUUUGCACCACUCAUAGUAUUCCUGAUCAGCGAAUAACCUUCUGUUACCCUAGAUUAGUUGAGAAUCCACACCACUCCGGUAUCCCUGAUCAGCGAAUAACCUUCUAUUACCCUAAAUCAAUUAAACAUUCACUCCACUCCUGGUACUAGACAACUUUGUCUAGAUUUCCUCAAUUCAACUGAGUUCAAUAAGUGUUUUAAUUCUCUUUAGAAUUACAGUCAAUGAUUGCUUACAAGUCGUUUAGACUAUUACUCUCACAGAGAGGAUAUGUGUAC